rnacentral:rRNA from 1 species
AGGUCACGGGCAGAACACCCGUUUAUAGGUGUUAGGUCGAAGUCCAGCGAUGGAUGCAGCCGAGACACACUAACAGACCGAGGGCUUGACCUC